UACUAUGGAGGUUCUACUAAAACCGCCACAUCAUGUGGCAACGUAGAACUACCCCACGUCGUGUGGG
rnacentral:sRNA from 1 species